UAGGACAUGGUGUAAUGGUAGCACUGAGAAUUUUGAAUUCUUAGGUUUAGGUUCAAUUCCUAUUGUUCUAG
rnacentral:tRNA from 1 species